UUAAAAGAAAAAUUAAAAAGAAAAAACAAACGAGAGAUGAAUAGCUUAAAAUUUAAAAGAGUCCUUAUUGCAUCUUUCUGUCUCUUCCUCCUCCAGUCAUACGCAGUGCAAGGGAUAGUCAGAAUCGGUUUGACUAUGGGUAAUAAUACUUCAUUCAACAAAAACGGAGUGGGGAUGAUAACUUCUGACGAAGAUAUCUUUUACGGAGAAAUAACAAUUGGUACACCGGGGUAACGUUUCACAGUCGUGUUUGAUACCGGAAGCAGCGAUCUUUGGGUACCAUCUGGAAAUUGGAAGGGCAAGAAGCCUCACAAUCUUUACAAGUCGCAAAAAUCAAGCACUUACAAACCAAAUGG